GCAAACUUGGUCAUUUAGAGGAAGUAAAAGUCGUAACAAGGUCUCCGUUGGUGAACCAGCGGAGGGAUCAUUACCAGAGUGCCCUAGGCUCUCCAACCCAUUGUGAACUUACCAAACGUUCCCUCGGCGGGCUCAGCGCGCGGUGGCCUCCGGGCCUCCGGGCGUCCGCCGGGGAAAACCAAACCCUGAUUUAAUCGUAUUUCUCUGAGGGGCGAAAGCCCGAAAACAAAAUGAAUCAAAACUUUCAACAACGGAUCUCUUGGCUCUGGCAUCGAUGAAGAACGCAGC
rnacentral:misc_RNA from 1 species